GACACAGGUGCUGCAUGGCUGUGUUCAGCUCGUGCGUGAGAUGUUGGGUUAAGUCCGUAACGAGCGCAACCCUUGUCCUUAGUUACCAGCACGUUAUGGUGGGCACUCUAAGGAGACUGCCGGUGACAAACCGGAGGAAGGUGGGGAUGACGUCAAGUCAUCAUGGCCCUUACGGCCUGGGCUACACACGUGCUACAAUGGUCGGUACAAGGGGUUGCCAAGCCGCGAGGUGGAGCUAAUCCCAUAAAACCGAUCGUAGUCCGGAUCGCAGUCUGCAACUCGACUGCGUGAAGUCGGAAUCGCUAGUAAUCGUGAAUCAGAAUGUCACGGUGAAUACGUUCCCGGGCCUU
rnacentral:rRNA from 1 species